GACGAACGCUGGCGGCGUGCUUAACACAUGCAAGUCGAACGGAAAGACCCUGCUUUUGUGGGGUGCUCGAGUGGCGAACGGGUGAGUAACACGUGAGUAACCUGCCCUUGACUUUGGGAUAACUUCAGGAAACUGGGGCUAAUACCGGAUAGGAGCUCCUGCUGCAUGGUGGGGGGUGGAAAGUUUCGGCGGUUGGGGAUGGACUCGCGGCUUAUCCGCUUGUUGGUGGGGUAGUGGCUUACCAAGGCUUUGACGGGUAGCCGGCCUGAGAGGGUGACCGGCCCCAUUGGGACUGAGAUCCGGCCCAGACUCCUACGGGAGGCAGAAGUGGGGAAUAUUGCACAAUGGGCGGAAGCCGGAUGCAGCAACGCCGCGUGCGGGAUGACGGCCUUCGGGUUGUAACCCGCUUUCGCCUGUGACGAAGCGUGAGUGACGGUAAUGGGUAAAGAAGCACCGGCUAACUACGUG
rnacentral:rRNA from 1 species